rfam:Glycine soja cultivar W05 scaffold773_19, whole genome shotgun sequence.
GUAAGAGAUUGCAAUCGAGAUAAAGGCUCGCACUCCCGCAAAGGUCAACUAACUCCAAAAACAUAUCAUCAGUUCGGAUUGUAGGCUGCAACUUGUUUGCAUAAAACCAAAAUCGCUAGUAAUCAUCGAUCAGCCAUACGGUGGUGAAUUUAUU